UUCUCUUUUUGUUGAAAAGUCAAGAAUUAGAAAGGCAUAUCACAUUGUCGAGAUUGGAUUUGGUCUGGAAAGUUUGGUUACGGAAAUUGACAAGCCACCAGGCUAUACUACUGCUACACUUCUUGAAGAGAUGUUGUUGAUGACAGAAUUUCUACCAAAAAAAUGGAGCCUGCACUAUUUUGCAAAUGUUGGAUUGGGUUGGCAGAUUUACUUGCAAUUUUGAUGCUCGUGCUAGUUAACUUUUUAGACUCGAGAGAUUCAACCAUAUUUCCAAUAAAAUAUGUUGUUAGCUCUUGCACAUUACAUAAUAACAAAUAUUUGAUAGCUAAAUAUGCCAAAGACUCAAGCAAACAAGGGGCUACUCAGUUGAUCUAUCUUGGAGAGAAGUAUUUUGCUGCUGAAGAAAUCUUAUUUAUGGUGCUUACAGAGAUGAAGGAAAUUCAGUGUCAGGCUACCGAGAUUGCUGGUGCUACUGUUGGUUUCAAUGUCGUGCAAGUUAUCACUAAGCCUAUAGCCGCUGCUACUGCUUAUGGUUUGGACAAAAAUGUUUCUAAAGGUGCCAUAAAAAAAUCUGCGAAUAUGGUUAACAAAAUGAGUGACCUUGGAUUUCCAGCUACAUGUUUUGCUUGCAGUCAGUUGCUCUCUCUAUAUAACCAGUUUAAUAAAAUACAGUCUGCAAAUAUUUUUCUGCUAGUGGAUAAAGAAAACAUAAAGCCAAAUGCCUUCACUUCCCUUAAAAUGAUAGAUUCCAAGGAUCACUCUUAUGACAUUGCCGAAAUGGCGCAUAUUAUUGAGACCAUACAGGUUGAAAGGAUAAAGCUUCAUAUUCAUAUACCAGGCGUCAUGGCAAAGCAUUAUACAUUUGGUGGUCUCGUAGAAAAGGUGACACCACUUGGUGUGCAAGAGAGUCUCCUUAUAGCAGUCAUCAAAGCUUCUUUAAAACUAGUUAUACUAGUGUUGAGGUGUGGAAAUUCAGUGUGUAUAUCCUUUGUUGAGGCAGUUCUGAAGAUACUUUUAUCCGCCUUACAUGUUGACUCUAUGGAUAGUGGAAGUCUGUACUGCAUUCUCACUCACAAUUUGGUUGCAUUCAGUGAUGUUAUCCAAAAAUAUAAUUACGUAGAAGAGGCAACCAACGAAUUAACAAUUGAUGGUUUAUCAAAAAUAUAUUUUGUCCUUGUCCAUGAUGGUGGAUUUACCGCCUGGAACCAUUGCACUGUUAGCGGAGGCUGGAUUUAAGGUGACUACAGUGGAUGUAACUGGUGUAAGCAUUCAUUCUUUUGACACAAAUAGCAUCACCAGUCUACCGCAGUAUGCAAAGCCACCCAUUGCUUUUCUUGGAAUGCUUGCUGAUGGAGAGAAGGUGAUUUUGGUGGGACAUGAAUUUGAUGGUGCCCGCAUAUCAUUUGCAAUGGAGCUCUAUCUUUCUAAAGUUUCAAAAGCAGCAUUUGUUACUGUAGCAAAUAUGCAGAGUCUCAUCUUGUUCUUUAGCCUUAGAGAAUACUUUGGUAUGGAGAAAAUUGGUAGCAGGUUUGCUACUAACAUUGUUCAUGAGCCGAACCUUGAGGACAAGGUUCUUAUUGACGGUGGGGGUAUUGUUAUGAAUACCCAUUACUGAUUAUGUUAUUGGGUUAGAAGCUAAGAUAUUUGGGCCAGUUGCUGAAUUGAGGAAAACCCAACGUGUGAUGUGGGAUCCAGGCUGAGACAAGGCUGGUGAGCUGAAAAGAAUACAAGGCUUAUAAAUAGCAGGAGGGUGUAGGGAGUAGAGUAUGUGAAUACUGAGUCUUUUCUUUAUUUUGGCUUAGCUCUUGUUGGAGCAUUCUGGAACCUCCCUCCAUUCUUGUUUUCCUUUUAUUUUAGAUCCUUGUUCUUAGUAUUGUUCAUGGUUGGAACUAAUAGAAAUUGUCUCUAUCUUCUUCAGUAAAUAUGGAUCCAUUACAGGUAGGGUGUGAUCUCCCAGGCAAACUGAUUGAUCGAACGUGAUUGGAUUUUGAAGAAAGUGAAGCCAUUUCUUAUGGUUUUCUUUCAGAUUAGGGGAUUUCACAAAGUUUUGAUGGAAUUUAAUUUUAGGAGUUGGUAUUUAUAGGAAAACAACCAUGGGAGGAGACAAGAUGAGCAAUGGCCUAAUUAAAUCAGCAUGUGAUUGCACAGCUGGAUCUUUUUGGAACUUGUAAACCUGCUACACAUUUGGCCAACAAAAGGUUGUACUGAUUACUUUCAUUAAUCCUCGUAGUUAUAAGAUGAACACGAGGCAUAUAAUUAUCAUGUAAGUGUUUACAUGAUUUGCCUUUUUCUGUCUCCAGAAAUGGUGCCAAUACUAUGACAAAAAACUUUUAUUGAUAUUAUUUGAUUGAAGAUGCAUCAACUUCAAGAAGCCUACUUUAUUUGUUCAGUUGUUUAUUUAGUCUCUGUCAUGUAAUAGGUGGCCAGGUAAGGCUGUCUCCUCCAUAAAGGCUUAAAUCCAUCAGCUACUAGAAUACAUAAUAUUUAGAUAAUUGAAAUGUAAAUAAUGACAGAAUAAUGGGAAUAUUUUAAGGUGUCAAGAUCUCAGAGGGCUAGUAGAUCAACUAUAAAAUUCAAAAUGCACGACUGAAGUUUAUCUUAUGGAGUUGUACACGUAUGGGAUUUUUUCUUUUGGAUUUGGUUGGCAAGGGGUUGGAAGCAUAUUUGUAUAAACUCCUGGACGAGAUGUAAUGCUUCCAAUAAAUGGUGGGCAAAACUAAUUAAUAUAUGUCGGUACAUUCAUAUCCUGCUAUUUUCCUUGGCUCCAUCCGGAAGAUUACAGCUAAGAACUCCUUCUUCUUGACUUGGUUAAAGAUGCCCGAGAUAUGGCUAUGAUGUUCAUCCUUUUAAUUAGUCCAGCGGUAGGUGGCUUCUUCAGGACGCUUCACUGAAAAAGCAAUUUUUAAUUAAAUCAAUAAUUGAUACACGAAUGUAUUGGAAAUAAAAAUAUUUAAUUUUGUGCAUCUAUGUAUGGCUGGUUAUGCUGUGCUUGUUUAAUGUUUACUAAAUUAUUGAACGCAUAGUUGUUUUCCUAUACAUUUUUUACUAGCAAACUUUUAUAAGGUACAAUCCAUGAGUUUCACAUUCUUUCCGAGAUAUCUUAUUUUUAAGUACGCAGGGGAAGGAACGCAUGAGAAUGCAUAUUGAGCUACAAGGAGAGAAUACAUUCAGGAGAGAGCUCCUCAAUCCAAUCAGGCACCUAAAUGCUCCUUCUAAUCCAUCGUUAAAACUCUCAAGGUGACCAUCGAAGGAUUCCAACCUAGUUUCAAAGUUAAUGUUAUCUGCUCGACUUUCACAUGCUUUUCUUCGCUUAUGCACCAAUCUCAAAACCAGUGCUAUUUAGACGAGUUUGACUUCAAAACUUGGACAGAUAAGAAGUAAAAAGAGCAUUUGCAAAAUUGAAAUGCAUACUAAGUUGGCUUCCCUUAGUACUCUAAUCAUGUGUAGCGUCAAUAUCUGAAUCUUGGAAUUCUGAUUCCUCAAUAUAUUCAUCCAUAUUUAAGAGUUAAGACCAGGAAUAACUUUUGGCUCCUCAAUCUUCUUGCUGAAGGAGGUGAUCCGGUAAAGCUGGUUUCUGUACUUAAGUGAUCUCCUUUUCUCCGUCUGAUAGAGGAUUGAAGAUCUCUGACAUAGGCAGGGGCACACUUAGUUGGCUAAGCAAGUCUGGUGGGCCUGUCCAUGGCACUACACAUUUAGAAGCUACCCAGGGACGCCGUGCCCAUGACAUUAUAUAUGUGAAAAAUGUCUAGCCAACUUCAGAUCAGUGCAAUAGAAGUUUCCCGAUUAGCAUGAGAAGAUCUUUAGGAGAGAACUCUGCAAUGUAAUCAGGCACUUAUGUUCCUUCCAAACUAUAUUUCGAAGUUGUCAGCUGAGCCUCAAAAGAGUUCUAUCCACACUUCAAAUCUAUUUUUGGGGAGCGUACAUAUUGUUGUUUUCAGGGACUGCUAGAGGAUCUUUUGGGAGCAAUGCAAUUAUGCUUGCUGAGCAAUGCCACUUUAGUCGUUCAUACUAAACUGAUAUUGAGUCGAGCAAAGUGGCAUUGUUAAUUGCUCCAUUUAUAUGUUCGAAAGAAUGGUCGGUUGGCUGCUUUGCCCGCUGAUCUGGUGCCAGAUCCUUGUGCUAGAUCUUCAUUUUGUUUUCUUUGUUGAAUUUGGCUAAGGAUCUAGAAGAAAAAGGCCAUAGGAUAAGCCUUUUGAUUAGAUCUACUGCUUCCAAUUAUCUCAGAAGGAAGAUGGAUGAAAUCAAGAUUGUCAUAUGUCUCCAUAUCUAGUUGGACUAUGAAGUAAGAUAAGCAGAUCAUAAGCUAUAUUUCUUAUUUAUCAGUGACGCUAAAAAUAUGGUAGAUAAGGAGCAUAAGGAAGAAGCUUUUCAUCCAGAUUAUUGCCCUUCAUUAGUUUGAUCUUUGAAGCCAAUUAUGCAGAGAAAGUAUGUAAUGAAUAUGCUAUGCGUUUUAUCUGUUUCCCCAUCUAGUCUAAAGAGGACCAUUUCAUCGGAUAUCGAGAUAUUUGAGACAAAAACUUAACCUGAUAUCAGGUACGGAGAAAUACUGCUAAGUGCUUUCUUUGCGCUGAAACUCACAGGCAUAACCUUUUAAAUUUUUAUCAGAGAGAGAGAGAGAGAGAUAGAGGCAAUAAAUGGUGUAUAAUCUGUCACUUGAAAUUUAUAUAUAUAUAAUUACAAAACUGUUUAUAUACAAUUUACAGAGUAUGGAACAACAACUGCCAGAUUAACAAGAAAGAACAUUGAGGAGAGAGCUUCUAGAUCUAAUCAAGCACCUAAAUGUAGCUUCCAGUGCCUUUUCAAAGCUGUCAAGGUACGCCCCGAAGGUUCCCAGCCUGGUUUCUAAGCUCGCGUUUCCUUCUUGGAGUUCAGGUGCUAUUCUGUCUUUUUGUACCAAUCUUGAAAGCAAUGACCAUUUUGAUUGCUUAGGCUUCAAAAGUGGCACACACAGGAAGGACAAGAGCAUUUGGAAAGUUGAAAUGCAUACUGCAUUAGCUUCUCUUAAUGCUCUAAUCGCAUCUAUUGUAUCUUCAUCUGCAUCUAGCAAGACUGAUAUUGCAGUCUCUUGAUCCAUUUGUUUCAAAGUCAAGACUAAUCUUUUGGCAUCCCUCUUGAUCUUCUUGCUGAAAGAGUUAAAUCUGGUAACGUUGUCGUCUGUGGUUGAAUCUCCUUUUCUCCUCCUGAGGGAGGAUUGAAGAUCUCUUACAUUUUCUUUAUAUUGCGAGACAAGUUCCCUUGUAGUGCCACAAACAUCAAGAAGCCUCACGGAUUUGUCCAAUAAAUCUUCAAUCAAUUUAGCAUCUAGACUUUGGCAAAGGGUUUGUGGCAAGUUGAAAAGAUCAUCUAUGCACUUGUAUAAUUUUUCCAAUCCGAAUAGACCACUGUACACAGUGUCUGCUGUUGGUGCAACUGAUAAUGAUUUGAGCUUGUUUAUCUCCUCUUCAACUCUUUGGGUGAUAGGGUGUGAUCUCCCAGGCAAACUGAUUGAUCGAACAUGAUUGGGUUUUGAAGAUAGAGCGGCCAUUUCUUAUGGUUUUCUUUCUGAUGAGGAAUUUCUCAAAGUUGUGAUGGAAUUGAAGCUUGAGAGUUGGUAUUUAUAGGCAGUACACCAUAGGAGGAGACCAGAUAAGCAAUGGCCUAAUUAAAUCAGUAUGUGAUUGCACUGUUGGAUCAUUUUGGAACUUGUAAACCUGCUACACAUUUGGCCAACUAAAGGUUCUGCUGAUUACUUUCAUUAUUCCUCUUAGUUAUGGGAUAAACAUGAGGCAUCUCAUUAUCAUGUGGGUUUUUUAAUGAUUUGCCUUUUUCUGUCCCCAGACAUGGUGCCAAUACUAUGACACAAUUUUUUUAUUGAUAUUAUUUAAUUGAAGAUGCAUCAACUUACUUAAUUUGUUCAGUUGUUUAGUUAGUUUUUGUCUUGUAAAACAGGUGUCCUGGUAAAGUUGUCUCCUCCAUAAUAGCUUCAAUGUGUCAACUACUAGAACACAGAAUAUUUAGAUAACUGAGAUAUAAAUGGUUAAAGAGUAGUGGGAAUAUUUUAUGGUGUCGAGACUUUUAAAAAGGGCUAGUUGAUCAAAUAUAAAAUUCAAAUUGCACGACUGAAGUUUAUUUUAUGGAACUGUACAGGUCUGGAAUUUUUUGUUUUUAUUUUUUUAAUUUGCUCGACUAGGGGCUAGGAGAAUUUCUGUAUAAUCUUCUUGACUAUGUGUAUGCUUGCAAUUAUUUUGAGAAGAAAUUCAGUAAGGACGCAUUACUUGGUGUUCUCCACAAGUUGGAUAUAUCUACUAAAGAAGAGCAGAUUGUGAUCUGUAUUUUCUACUUAAUUAGGACGUGUUAAGAUAUGGUGGGCAAAGUGAAUAGCAAAGGAAUAUUUCUUGUCCAGAUAUUACCCUUGACUCAGUUUAUGUCAUGGAAGGUGAGUUCUAAUACCAACGAAAUAUUUGAGCUUCUUCAUGCCUUCAGUUGUUUAUACUUUGCAAUUUUAGAGAAGAAAUCUAAACAAUAAAAGUGAAAUUGUUCCCUCUAAUUAGAAUACGAAAUAUUUAUUUCUCUUCUUCAGGUCCCAAUUCAGUCUAAAAUUCAGUUUUCUCAUGUUCAGAUCUCAACAUAGGUUACUUAACAAUUUCUGUUUAGAUCCCAACAGAGGCUGAAAUUAGUCAACAAUUUUGACUAAUUUUAAGGUUUAUCCUCUCUUCAUUAUGGAUCAAAUUCAUACUUUCAAGAGUUUCUCUAUGAUGAUCAGCCGAAAGUUAUAUUUGAAGGGGAAAAAACAUUGUUAAAGAUAUGUAGAGAUAUGCAAUUUGGAGACCGAACUAUAGUUUAGCAGUGAGCUAUAUCUUUAUGCUUGCUUAAUAGAAAAUGACAAUAAAAGUUGAAGACUAUUAAGCUUAUCACGUAAUAUUAAGAGGCCUACGGAAGAUUUUAGGUUUAAAAAAUCUGUCACUCACCUCACAUUGGCGUGAGACAGGAUUUAGGGCAGAGUUGAUCUCAUAUUCCAUUGUAAGUUUAAACCAGUGCAUUUCUGGUGCAAACAGAUUCGGUCAAAAACUAACAAAACUUGGUAAAAGACCAAACCAAUUCUACCCACCAGACUAAAAUAACUCGUCCAGAUUUCCUCCCAAAUUAAGACGUUGGAUUGCAGCCCUAAUUGGAAAUCAUACCAAUGCAGUCGUGUGUUUUUUAGAACUCAGUUGCAGCUUCCCAGCUUUCCUCCCAAAUUAAGACAUUGUAUUUGCAAGAUAGUAGUUGCAUGACAAAGAAAAGGUGACAUGGGCAUUGAACUUAUCAAAAAGGCAAUCUAAUCAACUUGUAAACUGCAGAAUGCUACAGCAAAGAGUAGUGAUUGUACUGUUAACAAAUGAUAGCUACUGCUAUUACAACUUUUGCUACUUUCAGAAAACUUUUAUGUACAAUUCAUCUUAGCAGUUGUUACUAUUGAUGUUGUACCAGCAAAAUUCUACUGCUACAACAGUAAAACACCACAGCACCACAAUUUCAGACUUUUGCUACUUACAACUGCAAGAAAUAUGCACCAGCAGAAACUAAAGGAAAUGUGCACCACAUUACCAGCAUCAUGAUUUCAUACACCAGCGUAGCAAUAACAGCUACAAAAGUACGCACCACAGCACCAAAAUUUCAGUAGCACAAUGUGUUAAGAUGAAACCCCAUAUUAAUUUGAAAGAAGUUGAAAUGGAAACAAAGAAGAAGGGGAUUUCAUCGGAUUUAGAAAUGAAGAAGAAGAAAGUCUUUAGAUAUAGAAACGUGGCUUCGUACUUUUCUAGAUAAAAGUCUCUAUCUCUCCUUUUUAUAUUUGACUCUUGAGUCAUUUUAAUAUGUGACAUUGAUAUGCAAAUACAGCUGUAAAGAAGGAGCAUGUGAGCACAUGUGAAUGAAUAAAAUAUAGAAGGGAACUACUUUACAGGUAAGAUGCACAUGUGAGUACAUGUGAUGGAAUAAAAUUAGUUUUUCCUUCGUAACAUUAGAGAAUAGGAAUUAAACAAGUGUAUAGUAUCAUUUUAUUUUACAUUUUCUUUUAGCUGGAUUACUUGUAUAAAGGGAUGCAAAUACUGUGAAUACAGUAAGAAAAAGAUUCUGCAACUUCAUUGCUUAUUUAUUUUUUUUACAUGGUAUCAGAGCAAGGUUAGCUCGAUCUUUCAAUUCUUAGUCAAAUCCUAUAUCUUAUUUUAAUCUGAUCUUCAUCCAUGACUGGAAUAGAAGCUUCCUCAGUUCUCACUGUUACUGGCUUGACCAGUCAAACAAAGAACCAUGACUCCAAUCACCCUUACUUCCUUCAUUCUUCAGAUGCACCUGGGAUGAGCCUUGUCAAUGCACAUUUUGAUGGCAGAGGUUUCCGAGGAGAUCCAUUCUCAUUGCUCUUUCAGCCAAGAUGACACUUGUAUAGAACCAAAGCUGGACUCAGCAGAUUAUCCUCUAUGGAAUAGAGCUAAUGAUAUGGUUACCUCAUGGUUGCUUAAUUCACUGUCAAAGGGCAUAGGUGACAGUGUUAUCUAUUCAAAACGGCAAGGAACCUAUGGAACAGUUUAGCACACAGGUUUGGCCAGUCAAAUGGGGCCAAACUAUUAUCAGCUACAAAAGGAAAUUUUAGCAUCAGUUCAAGAAAAUAACAGUGUUUUAAGCUACUUCACUACACUCAAGAAACUAUGGGAUGAAAUGGAUUCACUAAGCUCUCAUCUAAAUUGCUCUUGUGACUGUGUGUGUGGUGGAAAGACUAAAGUGGCUAAGUUCUUAGAGGAUCAAAUGAUCCUUUAGUUCCUCAUGGGACUUAAUGAUGUGUAUGCCCAGGCUAGAGGAAACAUUCUCAUGAUGAGUCCAUUGCCUAGCAUGGAUUUUGCCUAUUCAUUGCUUCUACAAGAUGAGAAUCAAAUAAAGGCUUUUGUGAAUCUUAUGAGUCCUCGACAUAACUCAGAUGCAUCUUCAUUCAUAGUAGGUGCACAAGGGAAGGGUGUACAAAGGUACAACAAUCAAGGACAAAGGGGAUGGAGUGCUUCAUCAAAAUUUAAAAAUAAUCAACAAAAGAAUAAAGCUAGGAAGGCCAAAUAUAACCCCAAUGCCAGCUGCACUCAUUGCAUGAGAACAUGAUAUGUUAGGGCAGAUUGUUAUAGGCUAAUUGGCUUUCCAAAUGAUUUUUAGUUUACCAAAUCUAAUAAUUAUCAAGCUGCAGUAAAAGGGAAUACAGUAAUGGGAGGACAAGAUAAUGAAAUCAACCCAAGUCCUAGCAAUGAAGGGGAUGUGGGAAGUCAGAAUCAGUCUUUCAGCAGGGAACAGAUCUCAGAACUAGUUAACAUCAUCAAACAUGUUCAAGUUGGUAAUACAGGCAAUGCAAGAUCUAAAAGUAAUGCCAAUGUAGUAGCUGGUACUAUUCUUAAUUAUUCAGGAACAUGUUUAGCAGCUUUUAACAUUAAAACUUGGAUCAUUGAUUUAGGGGCAUCUGAACACAUGUGUUUUUAUUCAAGUUCCUUUCUAGAAUUAUCUCCUCUUCCUAUACAUGUUCAUAUUAGCUUGCAUAAUUCUUUCUAAUUAUAUGUCACACACAUAGGAAGAAUUUCUAUUCAAAAUAACACGAUUCUUGAAAGAGUCCUCUAUGUUCCAUCUUUUAAAUAUAACUUACUAACAAUUCAUAAGUUAUAUGUUCAGUUCAAAUGUUCUCUUAAUUUGACUUCUAGUGGGUGUGUCUUGCGGGUCCCUUUAGUGGGUAAGGGGCAAGUUUUUGGUGAAAUAAGAGGAGGCUUGUACCUGUUGAAACCUGUUUUUAUUAGUGAAGAAUCUAUUUCUUCUAGUAAUGAUGAAUUUUCAAUUCCAAAAAGAAAUUAUUCCAGUCUUGUUUCCAAUACUGUUUCUUGUUUAGGACCUAUAUCUAGGAGUACAAUUUCUGAUGUAAUCCAAUAGCAUGCUAGAUUGGGCCAUUUACCUUUUGAAGUAAUGAAGACUCUUAGUUGUAUCUCUUUCCCCUCUUCUUUUGAUUAUGUGUGUGAUGUUUGUCAUCAAGCUAAACAAACUAGACUUCCUUUUCCCAUAAGUCAAAUCAAGACACAUGGCAUAUUUGAUAUUAUACACAUUGAUAUUUGAGGACCUUUUAAGUCUGACAUCUAUAAUGGUUAUAAGUAUUUUCUAACUGUUGUAGAUGAUUUUAGUAGAGGAAUAUGAACUUUCCUGCUAAAUUCAAAAGCAAAUGCAUUCACAGUUUUGAAAUUAUUUUUUGUCAUGACAGAAAGACAGUUUAACAUUAAGGUCAAGAAGGUGAGAUCUGAUAAUGCUUUGGAAUUGGAAAAAAGAUAACAACAAUCUGAUUUCCUUCUAUCACAGGGGAUCUUACAUGAAACUUCUUGCGUGGGCACACCCCAACAGAAUGUGAUAAUUGAGAGGAAGCAUAUGCAUUUACUAGAGGUUGCAAAGGGUUUAUUCUUUCAAUCCAAGGUUCCUAUCCAAUACUAGGGUGAGUGCAUCUUGACUGCAACCUACUUAGUUAACAGAUUCCCUUCCAGCGUACUUAAAGGAAAGACUCCCUAUCAAAUCCUAUUUGGCAAACCACCUGUGUAUGAUAAUCUCAAAGUUUUUGGAUGUUUGUGCUAUGCUUCUACUUUAGCUCACAAUAGAGAAAAAUUUGCUCCUAGAGUACAGGCUUGUGCCUUCCUAGGAUAUUCACAACAUCAAAAAGGAUAUAGGCUUUUAGAAUUGAAGACAAAGACUGUCUUUGUCUCUAGAGAUGUGAAGUCCUAUGAAAACCAUUUCCCUUUUGUCACCACACCUACAUCACAAAGCUAUCAGGUGUUUCCUCCAACUGCACCUCUCCCAGACAACACAAUACCUAAUUAUAUAUUUUCAUCUCCUUCCUAUCCUUCAUCAUCUCCUUCACCCUGGCCUAUUCCUAACAACAUUGCCCCUCCAGAUACAAACCCCAUCACACUUCCCUCUCCUAGGUCACUUGAUUUCUCUUCUCCAUCUCCCAAUUACAAUUCUCCUGGUCCUCUUUUACCUAUUGUUCCCAAUCUUAGAACAUCUUCAACCCCAGUUUCUAAUUCCACUUCUCUCUUACCUGCUCCUAGUUCUAGUAUCACCAUCCCUAUACCUCCACUACCUAUCAGAAAAUCUGAACGAAUUUCUCAGCAGCCUAGUUAUUUAAAUGACUAUGUAUGCAAUAACAUUUUUCUUUCUGACAUUACUUCCUCUUAUUUCAAUCACGCUUCUCACCCCAUUGCCCUAUCUUUUGGAGCUUUAUCACUCAAUAAUCAGAAUAUUCUAAGGUCAGUAUGUUCUGUCUCAGAACCUCACAGUUAUGCACAAGCUUUUCAAGAUGUAGGCUGGAGGCAAGCUAUGGAGGCAGAGCUAGCAGCUCUUGAACUCAACAACAUAUGGGAUGUUGUAAACUUGCCACAAGGGAAGAAAGCCUUACCUUGCAAAUGGGUUUACAAGGUGAAGCACAAAUUAGAUGGAUAUGUUGAAAGAUUAAAAGCACGAUUGGUAGUAAGGGGGGAUAUUCAAAGAAAAGGCAUUAAUUAUUCUGAGACAUUCUCCCCUGUGGUUAAAAUGACCACAAUCAGAUGUCUCUUGACAGUGGCUGUGAAGAAGGGUUGGAAUGUGUCUCAACUUGAUGUUAAUAAUGCAUUUUCGCAUGGGGUUAUAGGAAGAGGUCUACAUGAAGUUUCCCGCUGGUCUAUCUCCACCCAAGCCUAAUUAAGUUUGUAUUUUGAAGAAAUCUCUCUAUGGAUUGAAGUAGACUUCUAGAUAGUGGUAUGCUAGACUAGUUGGUGCUCUUAGCUUCAAGGGUUAUUUAACAUCCUUAAAUGACUAUUCUUUAUUUUUUAGACAAAAUGGAGAUCUCAUUUAUAUUCUAGUAGUUUACGUCGAUGAUAUACUAUUAACAGGCAAUGACAUGGCAGAAAUAGACCACAUUACUCACUUUCUCAAUUCAGAAUUUAAAGUCAAGAACUUGGGUGACAUUCACUAUUUCUUGGGAAUAAAAAUUAUCAGAGAACCACAAGGUUUCAUUAUCAACCAGCGGAAGUUUACUUUAGAGCUGUUAGAGGAAUUUGGUUGCUCAGGAGUUGCUGUUUCUUCUCCACUCGAUCCUUCCUCUAAAUUGCAUGCUGAAUUGAUGGCCCCGUUGGAUGACAUUAUACUCUAUCAUCGUUGUGUUGGUAAACUUAAUUAUCUCACCAACACCCUACCAAACAUUUAUUUUGCUGUCCUCACUCUUAGCCAGUACAUGCAAAAGCCCUCAAUUUCACAUUUUUCUGUUGGGCUGCGUGUGUUUGAAGUAUUUGCAUUCCGAUCCGGCACAAGGUAUACUUCUCUUUGCAAAUCAUUCUCUUGAUUUGAUUGCUUUAUGCGAUGCGGAAUGGGCUGCUUGCAAGGAUUACUGCCGUUCUGUUAGUGGCUUCUUCAUUACUCUAGGUGGAGCACCGAUUUCUUGGAAAUCGAAGAAAUAUAUGUCUAUCUCAUUGUCGUGUGCUGAGAUGGAGUAUCGCUCCAUGCGGCGUGUCACUGCGUAGAUAACUUGGCUAGUUCGUCUCCUCGCUGAUCUCUCCGCUCCUCCUACUUUGCCAGUCACCAUUCACUCAGACAGUCAGGCGGCCAUCUAUAUUGCUCGCAACCCAGUCUUCCACGAAAGGACUAAGCAUGUGGAACUGGAUUGCCACUUUGUCCGCCAACAAUAUCUCUCAGGUUUAAUCACUCUCUCUUUCGUUCCCUCAAAGCUUCCGCUUGCCGAUCUUUUCACCAAACAUCUGACAGGAGUUUCUCACAAUCAGAUUUUGCCCAAGUUGGGGGUUUUCUCUCCAUCCUCCAACUUGAAGGGGGAUGUUAAGAUGAAACGCCAUAUUAAUUUGAAAGAAGAUGAAAUGUAAACAAAGAAGAAGAAAGGGAUUUCAUCGGGUUUAGAAAUAAAGAAGAAGAAAGUCUUCAGACAAAGAAAUGUGGCUUCGUACUUUUCUAGAUAAAAGUCCCUAUCUCUUCUUUUUAUAUUUGACUCUUGAGGCAUUUUAAUAUGUGACAUUGAUAUGCAAAUACAACCGUAAAGAAGGAGCAUGUAAGCACAUGUGAAUAAAUAAAAUAUGAAAGGGAGCUACUUUACACAUAAGAUGCACAUGUGAGCACAUGUGAGAGAAUAAAAUUAGUUUUUCUGUCAUAGCAUUAGGGAAUAGGAAUUAAACAAGUGUAUAGUAUCAUUUUAUUUUACAUUUUCUUUUAGCUAGAUUACUUGUAUAAAGAGAUGCAAAUACUGUGAAUACAGUAAGAGAAAAAGAUUCUGCAACUUCAUUGCUUAUUUGUUUUUUUACACAAUGAAACACUUUUAUACUAGAUGCUAGUAGAUCAAUUAAUCAGAAGUAGUAAAGGAUAGUCGUGCUGUUCUAAUAUUGUAUUUGGUAGUACAUUUCUUCUAUACUAAGAAUCAAACUAAAGCUACCCUGAACAGACUUCCUUUCACGAAAACAGGUUUAGUAAACUUUGAAAAUAUAGGCUACAAGAAGAUCAGUUGUUAUUAAUUGACAAAAUAGAAGAAGAUCAGUUGUUAUUAAUUGACUAAAUAGAAGAAGAUCAGUUGAUAUUAAUUGACUAAAUAGAAGGAACAAUUUUAAGAGAAAACACAAAGAGAGGUAUACGAACAAAGACUGUUUGUACUAAGUUCAAACUCAAAUUUCUCAAAAUAUUCCUCAGACUGACACUAGUUCUAGAUUUAUUGUUGCACAUUGAAGGAUUUGGCACAUGAAACUUUGUAAAUUGUGUGAUACCAUGCUAAAUUCAAAAUUCUACAGGAAACUUACAGCUAAAUAGCUACCAAUAUCAAAACUUACUGCAAUAGGCUAACUUUCUGUCAAAAGAAAGUGCAGGGAUGCACAAGCCAUUCAAAAUCAGGCUUAAUGAUUAAGUGAUCGAUUAGUCUGUUGCUGAAAAUACUGCCCUCAAGUUCCAGGUGAGAACAAGAUAAGCGAGCUACACUUAUGCUAUCCUCCCAUAGGACAGAAAAAGUUGGAGGCUUACUACUGAAAGCUUGCCUUGGCGAAAGUCACAAGUCCACCAGGAGUCAAGCGAUUGCCAAUGAGUUACACAAGUCCUUUUCUCACUAACAUACAACACUAUGAACUGCAUGAUUUAACAACAAUAUCAAAAGACUCAGUUUAAUGGGCGAAAAUCCCCUCACCUUGAUGGUUUUAUCAUGGUUUCUAUCAGAAAUAUUUAGAGGCACUAAUCGGGCAUACUUUGAGAAAACCUUUAAUGCCCUCUUUUAUUGCUUUGUUCAAUAAGAAGAAUGGUGCGAGGGAUCUUAAAGACUUUUGGCCUAUUAGCCUUGUGGGUAGCUUCUACAAAAUUUUGUCUAAGCUUCUGGUGAGAGACUUAAAAGAAUUGUUGGCAAAUUGAUCUCAACUCUCAUUUAACAGCAUUGUAGAGUACUUCGUUAUGAUCAACUCCUUUAAAUUUUUAUGAGGCUGAAGGCCAGUUAAGAGCUCACGUUGCAUAUUCCUAUUGCUAACAUUUCCCCAUUCCAACUCAAGUUUUUCAAGAAUGCCUUCUCAGCUACCACUUUAUUCUCUACAUUUUCAAGUUUUGUGAUGCAAAGUGAUCCUCCAUGAUUUUUCAUGUUCUUCAGCUCCUCAAUGCCAUAUCCUUCACCUACUUGAACAAUAAACGUAUAAAGUGUUUGAAAAUUGACCAAAUUCCCGAGUUCUAAUGGCAUUCUACUAAGUUGGCCUUUUACAGCAAACUCAAGAUGUCGAAGACUGGUCAAAUUCUUGAAGUUCUCUGGAAAUUUAACAAGCAAUGGGCAAUCUUUUAGCACUAAUGUUUGUAAGCAAGAAAGCAUAGCUAUUGUUUCUGGUAAACUAGUGAAGUGAUUGCCCCUAGACAAUAUUGAAAAGCCAUUGCUUUAGGACCCUAAAUUUUUUGGCCCCAAAAAUAUUUUUGGUUGUGGAUUUUUUAUCUUAUUUUCACUUAGACAAUAUUGAAGUUUAUAGAAAAAAAUAAAAAGUCCUUAUAAAAGUAGAAAGAAAAACUGUCUAUUUUUUAACAACAGAAAUAUUUUAAAUUUUUGAAUAAGAUACUCAAAUCUUCAUAUUGGUAAAUAAUAUUUUUAUAGUAAGAUCUAAGGUAUGCAUUGUAAAUACGUUCUAAUAUCUUAUUAAUGUGAAUUUUCUUACUAAUGCAAAUAUAAUAUUAUAUUUUAUAAGAUAACUACACUAUAGGCAUAAAGAGCAAAGAAAAGAAACCAACGUAAAUAUUAAUACUAUAUUUUGUAAGAUAAUUACACUAUAGACAAAAAAAAAAGUCCAUUAUUAAAAUUUGACUUUAGGCCAUAAAUUUGGUUGAGACGUCCUUGGAUACCGCAAAUACUUUAAGCAGACAAUUGUCUCUGGUAAUUGAGUAAUGCCUCCGUUUUUCAGGUCCAACACUCUUAUAAUUGUAAAUUUCUCAAACAAAGAAAAGAGUUGCUGACCAAUAACCACACCACUUGCACAUGGCCAAAGAAAGGUUUUCAAUUUCUUACAUGAAAACCUCUUUAGUUCUACUGACUGCAUAUUUCCCCAACACACGAACAAGUGACGAAUACUUUCCAGUAAGCGAUAAGAGCUUUGAUUUUCCAUCUGAUGACAUAUAUUAGAUGAAACAAGUUGUGCCAUGUUGUGAAUAAAUUCAUGCAUCGUAUACAAUUUCUUUUGAAUAUCAAGAUCUUCUCUCCCAAUGUCCUCUAACCUCAUUUCACCUACGGGUUAAAUCAACCCUUCCACCAUCUCCAACAAUACCAAAUCAUCCAUUACAAACAUAUGACCAAGUGGAAAUAAUGAACAAUACGCAAAGCAUUUCUUCAAAGUUUAGUGGUAGAGAAUAAUAGCUAAACAAAAGACCAGAGAGUAUAUUUUUUUUUCAUAUUGUGGCAAGUCUGACAACUUACUUUUUAAUAUCGAGUCCCACUCCUAAUCAGGUAUACCAUGAAGUCAACCUCCAAGUAUUUUCGAUGCCAAAGGUAAUCCCUUGCAUUUCCUUGCUAUAUCCAAUCUCAUUUCUUCCAAAUUAUCUUCACCAUGCAAUUGCGUAUUGAAAAAUGCCUUUUGUUUCACUAUUUUCCAACAAUCCUCGUCAGAAAGAGUUGAAAGGUGCAAUGAGUUUGCUCCAACAACAGAUGAUACUUUUGCACUUCGGGUCGUUAGUAUGAUUUUACUACCCUCAUAACCAACCUUAAAAGGUGCACACAAGUUGUCCCAAUCUGCAUACUCUUUACUCCAAAAAUCAUCUAAUAUCAACAAAAACUUCUUGUGGCGGAGUUGAUCUAGAAGUUUGGACUAUAGCAAUUCCAAUUCCAUCAGUUUGCAUUUUUUGUUGGAGGCAGACUCAAGUAUUGACUUUGUAAUUUUAAUUAGGUCAAAUUCUACGGAUAUAGAAACCUAUAUCCUCCACUUAAAAUUCCACCCACCUUUUGGUCAUUGAAAAGUACUUGAGCAAGUGCUGUUUUGCCUAUGUGACACUUACCUAUAUGACAGAUACAUCAUCCGAAGACAACAUUUCUAGUGCUUUCCUCCUUUGAUCCUCUCUCCCAAUUAUGAGUGAUUCAUCUAGUGCUGAACUUAAAAGAGCAUAAGAAUUUUUCUUUCCAAUCAAUUUCGGCAUUUCUAGUUUAACCCAUUCAAUCUUGAAAACGUUGUUAGCAAUAUUUUCUAAGUUUUCCACAUGUGCGUCUAUUGCAUUUGGUACGUCUAUCAUAGAAUUAGAAAGAAGUUUAUCACGUAUCACCCGUUUAUCUUCUUCUCUUAGAUCUAAUUCCAGCAAGAGAUCUUCAAAGAGGUCAUCCACAUCAUAGCAAAGUAUGGUGGUCUUUUCAAGCCAAACAUCCCACGGUUUCUUGAUUAUGCUGGAAGGGGUUGAAUAACUAUGCUCCACAGUGUCAAUCAUCGUCUGGACCUUAAGGAGAGUUCUGUGUAGCUUCCUAAGAUUAGCAUCCACACCCCAAAAUUUUUCUAUUUCUUUUACUGCAAGUUUUGUGAAAUCUACAAGGAAAUUUGAAAAUGAGAAAAAGCAAAGCCAGUACGAAAGUCUUCAUCCAUGAGUAUCUAUUGGUUGUUGAAAUUUGACGGUAUGAGUGUUUAAUGUUUUGUAAGAAUGGCAGCCUUGGUUCUUCGCCACUUAGAGUUCUGUGACAAUGUAAACCAUUGGUUCUUCGGCGCUUAGGGUUCUGUGACAAUGACAACCUUGGUUAGACGCUUAGGCUCCGUGUGCUUUUAGUAUGAAGUUACAAUGUUUAAAGCUUUAACAGGCGAAAAGCACAUUGCCUUUCAAACACAAAAGCAAGACAAAUACUAAAGAUAUUAAUUUUUUUAAAAAAGUUAUUUUUAGGAUAAUCAUUUAUCCUAUUGUUGACAGACUAUGGAAAGAAUAUUCUAAUUAUCUCAUUUAUCAUAUUAUUAGCAAUGUUUUUUAAGUUUUUCACAUGUGCGUCUAUUACAUUUGGUACUUCUAUCAUAAAGUUAGAAAGCAGUUUGUCACGUACCACCCGUUUAUCUCCUUCUCUUUGAUCUAAUUCAAGCAAGAGAUCUUCAAAGAGAUCAUCCACAUCAUAACAAGGUAUGGUGGCUUCUUCAAGCCAAACAUCCCACGUUUUUUUGAUUACUGUCACGACCCAAAACCUAACCCGUCGUGAUGGCGCCUAUCGUAGUACUAGGUAAGCCGACCUUUCCAAGACUCUUUCAAAAAUUUAACAGAAGUGAAUUAAGAUAUUUAAAAUAUCCGAAGUUUUUCAUAAAUACGGGGUAAAACACAAAUAAAAACAUAAGUGCGGAAAAAUAUCCCGACAUCGGGGUAUCACUAAGUCAUGAGCAUCUAGAUAACCAAACUAAUACAACCAGUAUCUAAGCAUCAAUACAAGACAGAAACAAAUAUAUAGAAGGAGAGACAAGGUCCUGCAGACGCCGGCAGCUACCUCGAAGUCUCUAGUACUCGAUCCUCCCGAACUCAACGACCUCCGUGAUCAAACACACCUGGAUAUACACA
rnacentral:lncRNA from 1 species